CUCAACCGGGGAGGGUCAUUGGAAACUGGGGAACUUGAGUGCAGAAGAGGAGAGUGGAAUUCCACGUGUAGCGGUGAAAUGCGUAGAGAUGUNGGAGGAACACCAGNUGGCNGAAGGCGACUCUCUGGUCUGUAACUGACGCUGAGGAGCGAAAGCGUGGGGAGCGAACAGGAUUAGAUACCCUGGUAGUCCACGCCGUAAACGAUGAGUGCUAAGUGUUAGGGGGUUUCCGCCCCUUAGUGCUGCAGCUAACGCAUUAAGCACUCCGCCUGGGGAGUACGGUCGCAAGACUGAAACUCAAAGGAAUUGACGGGGGCCCGCACAAGCGGUGGAGCAUGUGGUUUAAUUCGAAGCAACGCGAAGAACCUUACCAGGUCUUGACAUCCUCUGACAAUCCUAGAGAUAGGACGUCCCCUUCGGGGGCAGAGUGACAGGUGGUGCAUGGUUGUCGUCAGCUCGUGUCGUGAGAUGUUGGGUUAAGUCCCGCAACGAGCGCAACCCUUGAUCUUAGUUGCCAGCAUUCAGUUGGGCACUCUAAGGUGACUGCCGGUGACAAACCGGAGGAAGGUGGGGAUGACGUCAAAUCAUCAUGCCCCUUAUGACCUGGGCUACACACGUGCUACAAUGGACAGAACAAAGGGCAGCGAAACCGCGAGGUUAAGCCAAUCCCACAAAUCUGUUCUCAGUUCGGAUCGCAGUCUGCAACUCGACUGCGUGAAGCUGGAAUCGCUAGUAAUCGCGGAUCAGCAUGCCGCGGUGAAUACGU
rnacentral:rRNA from 1 species